rnacentral:lncRNA from 1 species
UUACAUAUUAUGAAAGCCACUUUAAUUAUUAUUUAGAUGACCCCAGAUGUAUGAGUGCCAUUAUUGUUGUAUAGCUAUGAAACAGAUCAUCAUCUUUUACCUCAUUACAUUUCCUCAAUAUAAAGUUCCCAGUGACUAUCCGAUCACAUCCAAUUUCUCCAUUUCCAAAGAAGCCGAAUAAGGGAACACUAGGAAAAAACUUUCUAAAUGCAUCAGCCUCAACAUUCCCCUUGGCUCUGUAAUACUGAAAGCCCCUGCCAACGCAUGCAAACAUGAAGCCAAUGGUGUUAUGCUCUGGAAUGUUGGCCGCUUUGAGGCGCUGCAUCGCAGCCUCAGCAGUCUUCUCAUCACUGACGUCCUCGUUGAGGAGCACAGUGGCACUCUGGAUUCGGUGUCCACUAAAUGACAGUCCAACCACACCCGAGGCAUCAAUAUCCAGAGGGUUCCU